UACGUAGGUGGCAAGCGUUGUCCGGAAUUAUUGGGCGUAAAGCGCGCGUAGGCGGUUCUUUAAGUCUGAUGUGAAAGCCCACGGCUCAACCGUGGAGGGUCAUUGGAAACUGGGGAACUUGAGUGCAGAAGAGGAAAGUGGAAUUCCAAGUGUAGCGGUGAAAUGCGUAGAGAUUUGGAGAAACACCAGUGGCGAAGGCGACUUUCUGGUCUGUAACUGACACUGAGGCGCGAAAGCGUGGGGAGCAAACAGG
rnacentral:rRNA from 1 species